AUGCAAGUCGAACGGUAACAGGAAGAAGCUUGCUUCUUUGCUGACGAGUGGCGGACGGGUGAGUAAUGUCUGGGAAACUGCCUGAUGGAGGGGGAUAACUACUGGAAACGGUAGCUAAUACCGCAUAACGUCGCAAGACCAAAGAGGGGGACCUUCGGGCCUCUUGCCAUCGGAUGUGCCCAGAUGGGAUUAGCUAGUAGGUGGGGUAACGGCUCACCUAGGCGACGAUCCCUAGCUGGUCUGAGAGGAUGACCAGCCACACUGGAACUGAGACACGGUCCAGACUCCUACGGGAGGCAGCAGUGGGGAAUAUUGCACAAUGGGCGCAAGCCUGAUGCAGCCAUGCCGCGUGUAUGAAGAAGGCCUUCGGGUUGUAAAGUACUUUCAGCGGGGAGGAAGGGAGUAAAGUUAAUACCUUUGCUCAUUGACGUUACCCGCAGAAGAAGCACCGGCUAACUCCGUGCCAGCAGCCGCGGUAAUACGGAGGGUGCAAGCGUUAAUCGGAAUUACUGGGCGUAAAGCGCACGCAGGCGGUUUGUUAAGUCAGAUGUGAAAUCCCCGGGCUCAACCUGGGAACUGCAUCUGAUACUGGCAAGCUUGAGUCUCGUAGAGGGGGGUAGAAUUCCAGGUGUAGCGGUGAAAUGCGUAGAGAUCUGGAGGAAUACCGGUGGCGAAGGCGGCCCCCUGGACGAAGACUGACGCUCAGGUGCGAAAGCGUGGG
rnacentral:rRNA from 1 species